AUCUACCACACAGUCCUUCUCUGAAUCUUGAAUGCAAUUUUUUCUAGAAUGUGUUCUGCUGAUUUGUUUUAGAGCCAUGAGUGCAAUUUAUACACAUAUAUCUAUUGGGAAUGCUCAGAAGUUGUUUACUGAUGGAAGUGCCUUCAGAAGAGUCUGGGGACCACUUCCUAAGGAAGGAAAGAGCUGGCCACAGUUAGAGCAAGCCUGCCUGGGGCCCUGCUCUGUGUUCCAGCUGCAAACUGCCUGCAUCAUCCCUUCCUGUUACUCUUCCUUCACCUGAGACAGUCGAGGCCACAGCAUCAGCCAGGGCCAGAGCUGGGAUUUGAACCCGGGCACUCGGGCUCCAGAGCCACACUGCCCCAGUGUGGGGCUUAGAAGCGGCUCCUGGCCCUGACUGAGGGGCUGACUGAAGCCUGAGCUGCCUUGGGAAACUCAGCAGAGCCCUGGCUUCCUGCAGAGCCGUGUUCUCCCAGCCUGGUUCAUGGCUCCCUGGUUGAGCCAAGCUUGCGGAUCCGUGGGGUGAAGGUACCCGCACCGCCUGGGCCUUAGUGGUAUGUACGGGCCUGCAUUGUGAGCAGCGGGCGGGGGCCCAGGCAGGUGAGGCAGCUGGCCACAAGGGCAGGGCUGGGCCCACCUCCCAAGGCUGUGUCUGAUAUUCGUGAGCCUGUUCAAGUUUCCUUUUCCAAGCCUCCUGCUCUCCCACCCCCACCCCUGCCAUGCUGCAGUGACUAAAUCUGUGGUUCUCAGCCUUGGAGAACACCUGAGUAGCUGCUACAAGCUGGCCACAGCCCAGCCACUCUGAUGUGGUUGGUCUGGGUGUGGCCAGCAGCCAGGGCAUCGGGACUUUUCGAAGAUCCCAGGUGACUCACCGGCAGCUGGGGAUGAGAACUGUCAGGAGGGAAGGUCAGAAGUCCCAGGAUGCACUUGAAAAGCCUCUAGCUCCACCAGUGACCAGCUCCUGGCUGGACUCCUGGUCUCGACUCAGCAUCAGGGAGGCCCUGGCCUCUCGCCCUCAGGGCUGGGGGCUUCUUCACAUGGUCAUCAAAGACUUGGCCAGUUCCGCCUCUCCCGCGGCCGUCCUUGUCUCACCCAGCAUCACAUGACGCAUCAGUUCACCAACAAACACGAUUAAGUGCUGCUAGUGCUGGGUCCUGUUCUGGGGGCUGGUGAUGAGGCGAAGAGGGAAAGAGGGAGCUCUGUGUUCCGUCGAGGGGGCGACAAGCCUGGACCAGAUGAAAGUGACUCAUGUUGUUAAUUAGCGGCUUAGGGCCAAAGGUGGCCCCUGGACCAGUGGCCUCAGCAUCACCUGGGAAAAGGUUAGAAAUGAACAUUCCCAGGCCCCACCUCAGCCUCCUGAAUCAGAGCAUCCCUUUGGCAAACCAUACUGAGAAACAACCACGUGCAUCACCAAGCGCUGUGAAGAAGGCAAGCUUUGAGACCUUGAAGGAAUCAUCAAACUCUGGGCCUCGGUGUGCUCACCCAGGGCGAGACAAAGACGCCAUGCUCCUCCAAGUGGCCUCCAAGAUUAAAUGAGCAAUGACUUUUUUUUUUUUUU